rnacentral:lncRNA from 12 species
CUUAUUCCCGCCUCUUCCAUCCCUCUCAACCAUGUGGAGCAAAAUAACUCCUUGCAUUUUUCUGACCGAAGCAGUUCCAUUUGAAAAGCUUGCCAGCCAGGAUGUUUUAAAAUGUUGCUGAAUGAUUAAACACAAAUCCUUAAACGGAGAGAGCUGGCAUUGCAUGUAAUGAACCUCCAGUGAAGAAGAAACCCGGAUCCGGGAUCAAAAUGACACUUCGUCAGCUGUGAUGAGUAAGACUCUUCAAGCUCUCCAUGUCUUUGAUCCCAUUGUAUACUGCCUGGCAUUGGUGCCCAGCUGCUUCACACCUGUGAGUCCUGUCUUCUCCAAAGCUUGUACUCCUGAAGAGCAAGACCAUGCAUUGUGUUUCCCCUCCCCUAACACACUGCUAGUCGGCACAGGUGCUCAGUGGGUAUCUAGUAAAUUGUUUGAAGAAUGAAUGGGGAAGGGGGUAAAGAGUGAAUAAAUAAUUUUAGAAAACCGGAUUUUGUACA